rnacentral:rRNA from 1 species
AGAUUGAACGCUGGCGGCAGGCCUAACACAUGCAAGUCGAGCGGCAGCACGGGUACUUGUACCUGGUGGCGAGCGGCGGACGGGUGAGUAAUGCCUAGGAAUCUGCCUGGUAGUGGGGGAUAACGCUCGGAAACGGACGCUAAUACCGCAUACGUCCUACGGGAGAAAGCAGGGGACCUUCGGGCCUUGCGCUAUCAGAUGAGCCUAGGUCGGAUUAGCUAGUUGGUGAGGUAAUGGCUCACCAAGGCGACGAUCCGUAACUGGUCUGAGAGGAUGAUCAGUCACACUGGAACUGAGACACGGUCCAAGACUCCUACGGGAGCAGCAGUGGGAAUAUUGGACAAUGGGCGAAAGCCUGAUCCAGCCAUGCCGCGUGUGUGAAGAAGGUCUUCGGAUUGUAAGCUACUUUAAGUGGAGAAGGCAGUUACUAAUACGUAUCUGUUUGACGUUACGACAGAAUAAGCACGCUAACUCUGU